rnacentral:rRNA from 1 species
GUCUACAGCCAUACCACCCUGAAUGCACCCGAUCUUGUCUGAUCUCGGAAGCUAAGCAGGGUCAGGCCUGGUUAGUACUUGGAUGGGAGAAACUAGUGGUCUGAUUUACUAUAGGUC